GUGGCAGCAGCUCAGUCGUAGAGCUCCAGUUUCGCACGCGGGAAGACCUGGGUUCGAUUCCCGGCUGCUUUC
rnacentral:tRNA from 1 species